CUUUUGCAGACCGCGUUAAGGAUUGAAGUGACAUCCUUUUUAAUUUUUCAUUAAAAAGAUAUAACGGAAAGCCUGACCACAC
rnacentral:sRNA from 1 species